rnacentral:lncRNA from 1 species
UGGUGUGAUGGCGUGGAUCGAUCAGAGCAAAGGGGGGAGAAGACAAACCCUAACUUCAUGAAAUUCUCAAGAAUUGAAAGAGAUUAGGAGCCCAAACUAAUGCAUGAACUCGAAACUUCAAUCAUCUAAGCUUGUACAACAAGCGGAACGUGUCAAGGAGAGGUCAAGCAUAGGAGGAUAACGGGUCAAGAUAAGGCAAGAUGACAAAUACACUUAUUGGAGUACUCGAGGUAUGGGGUCGUUGGCUUCAUGAAGAAAUGGAGCUGGAUUUGGAUAAGAGUAUUUAAGAAAGCGCUUGGACAAUUCCACGACUACUUUAUAGAAUGCUCUACGAAAUUUUAUUAUAUAGUUUAAUGUUGAAUGGUAUGUUAAUAACUAAUGGUUUGGUUGUACGUGGUGUCCACAGGUAUCGCUUGGGUUUUCUCUACUUUUAUUGAAGUGAAGCGGACUUAGUUCGAGUUGAGAGCAAGGAUUGUACGGGGUAGAAUGGUCACAUAGUGUAACUCAUAUAGGUUUUGAAGUAUUAAUGUUAUAAAACGUUAUAAAUCCGUUUUAAUGAAUAUAUGGCAUUUCGCAUUUGAACUUUCAUGUGUUUGAUAUGUCUAUUAAAGAACGAAAUUUUUGGGCUCUUGUUUUCCGCUGCGUCGUAUUUUAAGUUAUUACGCGUUAGUCUUACAGGGAAUUGUUCUUAUUACGAACGGGUCAUGCCCGAAUUUUGUUAAAUAAUAGUAUGAUAAUAUUACAUUUUGGAAUGUGUAAUUUGGGCGUAACAAGUUGGUAUCAGAGCCCUGGUUUGAGAGAAUUAAGUACGAGAGUAUAAGUACUUGAACUCAAACCUGUGUGCUCUUGUGAUAAGGAACCCGUACAAUCCAUGACUCGAUCAAGAUCUAAAGGUAGAAAUGGAACGAAAAUGUGUAAGUAUGUAUUAGAUUAUGUAUUUGAAAGAAACUAAUAGUGUGUUAUGUGCAAGGUAAGCUUAAGAUCUUGAAGAGGAUGAUCCGUGAAUACAGAAUGGGAUGAACGCUAAGGCGGGCAAAGGUGCAAAUAGGCAAAUUAAC